rnacentral:rRNA from 1 species
UACGUAGGGGGCUAGCGUUGUCCGGAAUCAUUGGGCGUAAAGAGCGUGUAGGCGGCCCGGUAAGUCCGCUGUGAAAGUCGGGGGCUCAACCCUCGAAUGCCGGUGGAUACUGCCGGGCUAGAGGACGGUAGAGGCGAGUGGAAUUCCCGGUGUAGCGGUGAAAUGCGCAGAUAUCGGGAGGAACACCAGUAGCGAAGGCGGCUCGCUGGGCCGUUCCUGACGCUGAGACGCGAAAGCUAGGGGAGCGAACAGG